GUUGAACGCUGGCGGCAGGCCUAACACAUGCAAGUCGAGCGGUAACAUUUCCAGCUUGCUGGAAGAUGACGAGCGGCGGACGGGUGAGUAAUACUUGGGAACUUGCCUCUAGGCGGGGGACAACCACUGGAAACGGUGGCUAAUACCGCAUAAUGUCUACGGACCAAAGUGGGGGACCUUCGGGCCUCACACCUAGAGAUGGGCCCAAGUGGGAUUAGCUAGUUGGUGAGGUAAUGGCUCACCAAGGCGACGAUCCCUAGCUGUUCUGAGAGGAUGAUCAGCCACACUGGGACUGAGACACGGCCCAG
rnacentral:rRNA from 1 species